rnacentral:rRNA from 1 species
GGGGAAUAUUGGACAAUGGGGGGAACCCUGAUCCAGCCAUGCCGCGUGUGUGAAGAAGGCCUUCGGGUUGUAAAGUACUUUCAGCGAGGAGGAAGGUGUUGAGGUUAAUAACCUCAGCAAUUGACGUUACUCGCAGAAGAAGCACCGGCUAACUCCGUGCCAGCAGCCGCGGUAAUACGGAGGGUGCAAGCGUUAAUCGGAAUUACUGGGCGUAAAGCGCACGCAGGCGGUUUGUUAAGUCAGAUGUGAAAUCCCCGGGCUCAACCUGGGAACUGCAUUUGAAACUGGCAAGCUUGAGUCUCGUAGAGGGGGGUAGAAUUCCAGGUGUAGCGGUGAAAUGCGUAGAGAUCUGGAGGAAUACCGGUGGCGAAGGCGGCCCCCUGGACGAAGACUGACGCUCAGGGGCGAAAGCGUGGGGAGCAAAC